GACGUAGGGGGCGAGCGUUGUCCGGAUUUAUUGGGCGUAAAGCGUGCGUAGGCGGCUGCGCAAGUCGGAUGUGAAAGCCCCGGGCUCAACCUGGGAACUGCAUUUGAAACUGGCGGGCUUGAGUGUGGCAGAGGGGGGUGGAAUUCCGCGUGUAGCAGUGAAAUGCGCAGAUAUCAGGAGGAACACCGGUGGCGAAGGCGGAUCUCUGGGCCGAUACUGACGCUGAGGAGCGAAAGCGUGGGGAGCGAACAGG
rnacentral:rRNA from 1 species